UCUGAGCGACAGGACCAUAGGAGGGCGCUUUGCUUAAUGCUGGCUUCCCCUCGCGGAUUGUUUUCCAUUCCUUUUUUGCGUGUUCCCCUUUUUCGCGUAACUGUGCGAAUCCCAAGUGCAGGGACGAAAUACAACUAUUUCGUUGAAUUAUUUAAUUGCCUCUUUCUAGAGUAAAUCCCAGCGUACUCGUUACGAACGUAAAAAUUGGUGUCAGAAGAGGGAUUACAAGGCCUUAGAACGACUUUUAAAAAGUCGCCUUACUGAACGCCACUGCCUUAAAGGGCGCCGCCAUAUUGGAUCCAGUCGCGUGUUGGAGGCAGGCGUGACUGUGGGCGUGGCCAUAUUGGAUCUGUGUUACGCGACAGACUCUCCCGCAAAGUAGUUUCCCGUGGGAUCGUGGUUUAUCGCUUUGAAGCCAAAGGGGAAAUAUUUUUUUUUGUUGUUUUGUUAAUUUUUCGGCGUUUAAUUUCUUGUUUCCUUUUUUUGGCGCGCCAACAAUUUAAGCGAGUUUCGGUUGGUGUACCUAAGCUUUUGUCGGGUAUUUAAUUUGGUUUUUGUGUGUUCGUCUCCUGCCUUAUUGGCUUUUGCUGGUGCCGUCGUUUAUGUAUGUUUAUUCUGUUUUUUUGCAAGUGGGUUUUUUCUUUUUUCUUUCUCGUGGUUGACCGACUGAUUAGUCACGUCUGUUUUGGGUCUUUUCCUUUUGGUUGCUUUUGCUGGCGUCGGGACCUGCAUGUCGGAUACGGAUUCCGAAAUGAAAGAACCUUUUUUUGGUUUUGAACACCACUAUCACUUACGAAACCGUAGCCAACAAACCGAUCCAGAACCGGUUAGACCCCGUUUAGUUCUCCCUGUACCUCGCAAUCCACCAAACGACGCUGCUAAACAACGUCUGGAAUUUGACAUUUCUCCUUCGGAAGCGUCGACCAAAACUGAAAUGGCGGACAAUGCAGCUCUCAUCGCUGCGUUACAAGGGUUUACCAUGGCAGUAGCAACGGACGCAGCAGCGAGGCAGAACCAGAUGGCGCAGCUGUUUCAAGUUAUCGGGGGCCAACAGCAAAACCAAGCCGCUAUGCAAGCCAUUGUUGCUGCACCACCCAAUGCACCUGUUAUUCGGCCCUCCACAGUGGCGGUAAACUCUCUACCACAUUUUUCAGGUAGUGCAGACUGUUAGAAAUUCCAGAACCCGAACCUGAUGGUUCAGGGACGGACAAUUAGGAAGGAAGUCAAACGGAGAAGUAAUGAGAUAGAUCGGCGUAACAAGAAGACAGAAGACCGUAGAAAGUAAAAGUGAGAUGAGGAAUAAAAGAAUUAAAACCAUA